UGGCAUGAAUGGACAAGAAUGGAGAAAGGUGUUAUUUCUUAUGUGCUAUACGAAUAGUUGAAGAUUAAUUAGCAGUAUAACUAUAAAUAGUAAUGCUGCCAGUCUCCUUCAGACAAGA
ensembl:snoRNA